rnacentral:rRNA from 1 species
AGUGAACGCUGGCGGUAGGCCUAACACAUGCAAGUCGAACGGCAGCACAGUAAGAGCUUGCUCUUACGGGUGGCGAGUGGCGGACGGGUGAGGAAUACAUCGGAAUCUACUUUUUCGUGGGGGAUAACGUAGGGAAACUUACGCUAAUACCGCAUACGACCUACGGGUGAAAGCAGGGGAUCUUCGGACCUUGCGCGAUUGAAUGAGCCGAUGUCGGAUUAGCUAGUUGGCGGGGUAAAGGCCCACCAAGGCGACGAUCCGUAGCUGGUCUGAGAGGAUGAUAAGCCACACUGGAACUGAGACACGGUCAAGACGCCUACGGGAGGCAGCAGUGGGGAAUAUUGGACAAUGGGCGCAAGCCUGAUCCAGCCAUACCGCGUGGGUGAAGAAGGCCUUCGGGUUGUAAAGCCCUUUUGUUGGGAAGGAAAAGCAGCAGGUUAAUACCCCGCUGUUCUGACGGUACCCAAAGAAUAAGCACCGGCUAACUUCGUG